rnacentral:tRNA from 2 species
GAGCCCCUAGCUCAGUUGGCUAGAGCACCUCACUUUUAAUGAGGGGGUCCAGGGUUCGAGCCCCUGGGGGCUCACUA